GUGAGAUAAGUGGUAGACUUCCUGAAACUGUGUUCUCUGUGCAGUGUCUGUUAGUAGAAAUGACUUGCAGCAACAAAUCUGCAGGAUGGAAUGGAGCCAGAGAAACCACGAGGAGUGAAAGGUGUCCAGGUUAUCUAAGCAAAUUGGAUUGUGAAGGGGAAAGAUUGGAAUGUGUGAGAAAUUAAGAUAGACUGCUCUUAAAAAGUGCAGAACCAUUGUCAAGUGUUCUGUCAAUCCUGAUUUCCUACUGUUUUAACUGCAUUUCUUCCCUUCUCAGGCAUCUCUUAGGAAUCUGGUGAUGGUGAUGUCAGUUAUCUGCCACUACUAUAUUAAGAUGCUUCUUCCAAAAUGAUAAGUGAUGUCAUUCUCUUAAUAGAAUUGUCACUAAGCUUCAGAGUCAUUGUAGUGAUGUGCAGGGCUCAGCAUUUCAGCAAAGCCCUUAGUGGAAAUGUUGAAAAUCUUUUCAGUUUCCAUGUGUAAGGUUAUUAUAGACUUAGAGGUGUAUGGAAAAACUGGAGUCUGUUCUGUGGAAAUUUAGCAUUCCAGAAAAGCAAAUCAGUACAGUGUCAGUGAGGAGAAAGAGCUUGGUGAUCCAUGGGAUUGGAAGUGUACAGUGGGAAACUAGGAGUGUAAUUGCACUACACAGUGAAGUUGAAGUAUAUAAAUAAUUGAUCUAAACUGUUUCUAAAACUGUUUCCAGAAGUGAAUUAGUGCAGCCACCUUAGUUUGGCUCUGAAUACAUGCUGAGGAAGACUGGCUGUCUCAGUGACAGGGCACAUUGGCCUGAAAGGAAUGUGCUAACCUAUCUGCACAGCUCCUGAGACCAGGCCAUGUGGGUGUGGAAUGUCUGCAGUGUCUCUGCUCUGACAGGCCCAGUAUCACAGCCAGCUGGGACCUCUUCACAUUGCAUACCAUGGUAGGAGAGAUGUGCUGUGAAAGCACUUGCCUCAAUGAGCCAAGCUAAAUGAGUAUUAACAGAUGAUAUAAUUUCCUUCUCUGAAUGUACCAUCACAGAGGUAAAGCUCUCUUGAAGCUAAGGAACUGUGUUAGUAGAAGAGCAUAAGUCAUCAACUGACUAGGAAUAUACUCACUCUAAAAAUCAAAACAGAAUUUUCACAUUGAGACUGCCAUCUGAUAGAGUAGCUACUAAAGGGACUUUGGUCAGUUUCUGGAAUAAAUUAACUGGUACAACUGCAAGUGUAAGAGUUGAGUACUCGCAGUGAUUUAGGAGUUCCCUUCUAGUCCUAUGUUUGUAUGUCUCACAAUUCUGUUCAAGCAUCAAAGUCAAGAAUACAUUCCACUAUUGACUCAUCUGGGAAGAGCAGGAUGCUAAUUAUAACCUCGUGGAGUAAUAGCCUGCUCUUAUCUUUCAUGUAUCUCUUAUCUACAUAUAUUUCAACUAUAUUUCAGUUAACACAGUUGAGGUGUGAAAGCAGUGGUUUGUCUGGUAGCCAGAAUAUAUAACCUUAAAAAUGUGUGGGGAAUUAGACUGCUUCAGUUAGACAGUUAAUGAAGCACUUUUGUUUUAUUGUGAUUCUUUUUAAGUAGCAGUGAUAGAAACAGAGAACUCUUGGCCAAAUUUCUUAUAACAAUAUGCCAAACAAUAUACAUAAUGAUUUCAGUCAUUCUAGUCAUGAGGUCCUAAGAAUUGCUGAAUUCAGCCAGAUGAAAAGUCUACCUAACCUAGUAAGUAGAUAUUUAUGGAAAAAAUGUCUGGAGGCAGUCAUGCUUGCAGUGAUUUUUCCAUCAUGCUCUUCAGGCCUUCAGUGACUAGGAGACUCUUUUGUUUAACAGUUACUGCUGACCUACUGAAUAGAACUGCUGAAUCAAUGAAGUCAUGAUUUUUCUGGUCCAUGUGCAGUUUAUGCCUCACAAUAUGUAAUGAAAGUAAGCUUGGUAUAUUAUUGGAAAAAAGGAAAAAAAAAGCAUGGCUUCCAGUAUUUAUAUUGGGAAAACUAGUGAAUUACUAUUACCAGGUCACCUUUUGAAUAAAGUUCGUUACUUGAUACAUUGCUCUCAUAUUCUUCUCUACAUGUUUUCUAAUUCUAUCAUAACAUUUUUGAUAAUGUUCCAAAGUAUUCAUAAAGUGUUUGUGGCCUGAGUGCUUACAGGGGAGAUUUUUCAUGUUUUUCUGAUAGUUUUUAAAUAAAUCCUAGGUAUGUUUGUUCCUUCAAGCACCAGACAUUUUCAUAUUUCUUUCCUGGUGAUACUAACACCCCAUAUAUAUACAUAUAUGUGUAUUUUCUCUUCCCUUCUUGAUGUGCAUUGCACUUAAUGACACUGAAUAGCCUCUGGCAUUUUAUCACUCAUUCAGUAUUGAACCACCUCCAAAGCUUUUCAUAGCUAGUCCCACAUUUCCUCAGCCUAACAGUUUUGUGUCAUCUGAUGUUUAUUCCUUUGUCUAAUUAUGUGUGUUCUUUUUCACAGUGUUUAUGAAUACAUUGAAGGCCCACAUCUGUCAGCUGAGCCUAAGUCAGUGAAUCCUGAAAAAGAAUACAAGCAAUACAAAAUAUGGCCUAUAAAAUAAUUCAGCCUUUUUUCUUGUUACUAAAAUGAAUUUUACUGUUUUAGUGUUAUUAUUUAUUUAUUACAUAAGUAGAUGCAUUUUUAAUUUGUUUUCACAAUGCAGAUCUACUUGUCAAAGCUCUGGUAGGAUAAUGGAAAUAGAAGACAAGAGAAAUUCACUGCUUUCUGAUAAUUUAAAUAUCACACAUGUUGACAUUAAUGGCUAACAUUUUUAUUUCAUAUUUCACUGUAUGGGAUUCUUGCACAUACUGACAAUUUAAGGGUGAUUUUCAGGAAAGAACUAUAAAAAAGAAACUGUUCUUUUUAUUUUUUUAAUUUUAGCAUGCAAAGGUUGUCUUUGACUGUCUUCAAUCUCCUAUUGGCUUAAUCCACUAUACUUACUUAUUAAGCUAUGAAUACCUGCAAAUCCUUUAAAGGAUUAACUGUAUUUGCCUGCUAAGCUUUCUGAGGCAGUUAAAAAUAACUGCAGGCUGAUUCUACUGACACACUAAAAAUUGGACCUGCUCUACAUUUUAUGUUGUAUCUGCUGCUGCUUUGACAGAUGUGAUACAGUCUGGAGGUACUUAAACCUUCUGUGAAGUUGGGUUGACCAAGUGCUCUCAAUACCCCAGUUCUGGCUAGCAGCUGUUUUCUCUUACAGCCCAAAGAGGAUCAGCAUUUGCUUUGUCUCAUGAAAAACGCCAGUGACCAAGAACAUACAAGCUGGACAAAGAAAUUCAGCUUAAUAUAAAUUCAUGAAAUCAAGGUGUCCUUCUCUGAAGAAAAGGCUUUGCUUUAUACAAGUGGUCCACAGUGCAGUCCUUCCUGUUUGGGCUGAGAAAAGUACAAUUGAAGAACAUGGAGCAUUCUGACAUGUGUAACUCUUUGUACCAAAGAAAGCCUUACAUGGCACAAUCUGGAUGAUGUCUGGACUUAAACUCAUUACCAGAAAAAGAUAAUGAUGCUGUUGUGAGAGCCAAAUGAAGGGACAACACAUAACACCAUACACAAGGAAAAUCAGAGGAGAUCUUGAAUGAACAAAGAGGAUGUACAUGAUGGAGUUAUUUACCAGAAAUGGAAAAAGAGAAAUUAUUUUGGAACUACAAGGCACAGACAUGGCAAAAAGAUGAUGGAAGUUAUACCAAAGCUUGCUAUUCCCAGAGGAGAACCAGGUCCAUCUAUACCACCACUGGACUGUCAGAGGAAAACUACACUCUUUUACAGGAUCACAGCUUCAGCAGAACCACACCUGUGGUUCUGGAUAUAAUCUGAGAUUUGGAACACCACAAGCAGCCUUUGCAAGCAACCGGAACCUCCUGUGCAGGAGGGCUGCAGCCACCAUUUAAUGGGACUGCUACCAACACCCUGACCAACAGGGUGUCAGGUCAUAUUCUGACUCUG